UACGUAGGGCGCGAGCGUUGUCCGGAAUUAUUGGGCGUAAAGAGCUCGUAGGCGGCUUGUCGCGUCUGCUGUGAAAUCCUGGGGCUUAACUCUGGGCGUGCAGUGGGUACGGGCAGGCUAGAGUGCGGUAGGGGUGAUUGGAAUUCCUGGUGUAGCGGUGGAAUGCGCAGAUAUCAGGAGGAACACCGAUGGCGAAGGCAGGUCACUGGGCCGUUACUGACGCUGAGGAGCGAAAGCAUGGGGAGCGAACAGGAUUAGAUACCCUGGUAGUCCAUGCUGUAAACGUUGGGCACUAGGUGUGGGGGGCCUUUCCGGGUUUUCUGCGCCGUAGCUAACGCAUUAAGUGCCCCGCCUGGGGAGUACGGCCGCAAGGCUAAA
rnacentral:rRNA from 1 species